UACAGAGGUCUCAAGCGUUGUUCGGAUUCAUUGGGCGUAAAGCGCACGUAGGUGGCGACGUAAGUCGGGUGUGAAAGCCCCGGGCUCAACCUGGGAAUUGCAUUCGAGACUGCAUUGCUGGAGUACGGAAGAGGAAGGCGGAAUUCCCGGUGUAGCGGUGAAAUGCGUAGAUAUCGGGAGGAACAUCAGUGGCGAAGGCGGCCUUCUGGUCCAGUACUGACACUCAAGUGCGAAAGCGUGGGGAGCAAACAGG
rnacentral:rRNA from 1 species